rnacentral:rRNA from 1 species
UUUCAAAGCUCCGUGGGCGACCACGGCGCGUUGUAGACUAAAGGGGCAGCAUCCGCAUUGCGGGGCUCGGGUAUAGAUCCGUUGGAACGCGGUAUCACAGAGGGUGAGAAUCCCGUACGUGACUCGAGUGACCUCCCCGCAUUUCUGCGUUGCGCUUCCGAAGAGUCGGGUUGUUUGGGAAUGCAGCCCAAAAUGGGUGGUAAACUUCAUCUAAGGCUAAAUAUUGGCACGAGACCGAUAGCGAACAAGUACCGUGAGGGAAAGAUGAAAAGCACUUUGAAAAGGGAGUCAAAAAGUACGUGAAACCGUUAAGAGGGAAACGAAUGGAGCUAGCAUUUGUGCCUGGUCACAAUCAGCCGGACGCCGGUGCGGACGUGGCGGCGGUAAGAAAGGGCCUUAAAAACCCUUUCCUCGGAGAGCUUCCUCGAGCGCGUGCAAACGCGAUGCCGAGGGGCCUCACGCCGUUGCGAAUCGUUAAUUCCGUGCCGGUGGGAAAGCCGGUGCACUUGUGAUCGGUAUCAGGCCAACAUCAGUUCGGUGAUUCUAGCCAAACGAAGGAGACAGGGACCUUGGGGGGAAGGUGGCCGGGCCACGACAUUCGUGUCGCGUCUCGGUGUUAUAGCCCUCUUAGGAAAACUUUUCUAGCGUCGCGGCCCGGACUGAGGAAACGCAGCAGCGCGCUCUCUUUCUCGGGGGACUCGUUCCUUUGAGAUCGAGAAAACUUGCAGAGCUCUCGCUGGGGUGCCAGGCGGCCGUGACUGCUUUCAAAUGAUUGCAGUGGCGGUCGCCACGGGCGGCUCUUCAAAGAGAAGUAGUCGGCCGUGCGCGCGCCUCACGCCUACCUGCGACGGGGGUCUACGCAUUACACGCGCUUGUGAUGUUGGCGAAAUGGCUUCAUCCGACCCGUCUUGAAACACGGACCAAGGAGUCUAACAUAUACGCGAGUCUUUGGGUGACAAACCCGCGGGCGCAAUGAAAGUGAAGGCGCGCCUUUUGUCGUGCGCAUAAAAACGCCGUGAGGUGAGACGCCAACCGAAUUCGUUCGGGAGGCCGCAUCAUCGACCGAUCCGGAUGGGCCGGGGAGAGGGGCUUCGGUUCUUCACCUUUGGAUUUCCUGAAAGAUUUGAGUAAGAGCGUAUCUGUUGGGACCCGAAAGAUGGUGAACUAUGCCUGAACAGGGUGAAGUCUGAGGAAACUCAGAUGGAAGCUCGCAGCGAUUCUGACGUGCAAAUCGAUCGUCUGAUUUGGGUAUAGGGGCGAAAGACUAAUCGAACCAUCUAGUAGCUGGUUCCCUCCGAAAUUUCCCUCAGGAUAGCUGGAACUCGAAACGCAGUUUUAUCAGGUAAAGCGAAUGAUUAGAGGCCUUGGGGUCGAAAUGACCUCAACCUAUUCUCAAACUUUAAAUGGGUAAGAAGCGCGACUUGCUUAAGUGAAGCCGUGCCAUAACCGAAUGCAAGAGUUCCAAGUGGGCCAUUUUUGGUAAGCAGAACUGGCGAUGCGGGAUGAACCGAACGCGAAGUUAAAGUGCCAAAGUUCACGCUCACCUAGAACCCAUAAAAGGUGUUGGCUGAUGAAGACAGCAGGACGGUGGCCAUGGAAGUCGGAAUCCGCUAAGGAGUGUGUAACAACUCACCUGCCGAAUCAGCCAGCCCUGAAAAUGGAUGGCGCUCAAGCGUGACACUCAUACUUCGCCGUUGCCGCAAACAAAGCAGACGCAUACUCUUUAUUUUGCCGCAACGAGUAGGAGGGCGUGGAGGUAAUUUGUGAAGCAGCUUCGGGCGUGAGCCUGAGUGAAACUGCC